AUGAGUUCAUCGAAUGAUUCUUCUGAAGAAGAAUUUGAUAUGAAAGAGGAGGAGGAUCUUGCAAUGAUCCUAAUUAUGCACAUCAAUAAAAAACCGAAGCACGGUGGUUCGGUUAUGGGUCAGCAGAAAAUUUGGAGGGAUAGGAUCGAUGCCCACAACAGAUUGAUGAGGCACUGUUUUGUGGAGAAUCCCACAUACCCCGAGUCGUACUUUCGUCGCCUGUUUAGGAUGAGCACCGAGUUGUUCAGACGCAUUGCAGAGAAACUAGCGAGCCAUGACCAGUUUUUUCAGCAAAGGAGGAAUGCCGCCGUAGAGCUCGGGCAAAGCACCUUUCAGAAGGUGACAGCCGCUUUGCGUAUGUUGGCAUACGGUAUCCCGACUGAUCUAGUUGAUGAUCACAUGGCCAUGGGUGAGAGCCAAGCCAUCAUGUGUGUCAAGCGCUUCGCAGUCGGAAUUGUACAAAUGUUUGGCCAGGAGUAUUUCAGAUCUCCCAAUGCUGAAGACGCCAUGUGUGUCAAGCGCUUCAUAGUUGGAGUUGUGCAAGUGUUUGGCUAG
rnacentral:rRNA from 1 species